UAUCCCCGCCUGUCGCGCGGGAGACCGGGGUUCGAUUCCCCGACGGGGAAGAUCGGAGGAGACA